UACGGGGGGGGCAAGCGUUGUUCGGAAUUACUGGGCGUAAAGGGCUCGUAGGUGGCCAACUCAGUCAGACGUGAAAUCCCUCGGCUUAACCGGGGAACUGCGUCUGAUACUGGAUGGCUUGAGGUUGGGAGAGGGAUGCGGAAUUCCAGGUGUAGCGGUGAAAUGCGUAGAUAUCUGGAGGAACACCGGUGGCGAAGGCGGUAUCCUGGACCAAUUCUGACACUGAGGAGCGAAAGCCAGGGGAGCAAACGGG
rnacentral:rRNA from 1 species